CACACCGCCCGUCACGUCAUGGGAGUUGUCAAGGCGUGAAGUCCGUGGGCCAACCGCAAGGAGGCAGCGGCCGAGCGCCGGGGCAGCGACUGGGACGAAGUCGUAACAAAGGUACC
rnacentral:rRNA from 1 species